rnacentral:ncRNA from 1 species
CCCGCUGAACUUAAGCAUAUCAUUAAGCGGUGGAAAAGAAACUAACCAGGAUAACCUAGUGAGGGCGAGCGAACCGGAAAUAGCCCAUCUUGAAAAUCUCCCCUUGGAGAAUUGUAGUCUACAGAAGCGCGCUCGUGGGCUGGCGGAAUCGAAUCCCGCGUUGGAUCAAAUGCCGCGUCAGAGAGGUCGAAAACCCCCUCGUCGGUUCCUGCCUAGUCCUCUCACGAGGUGCUUUCCACGAGUCGGGCUGUGUUGGGGAAUGCAGCCCUAAUUUGGAGGUAAAUCCCUUCUAAGGCUAAAUACUGCUGAGAGACCGAUAGCGAACAAGUACCGUGAGGGAAAGAUGAAAAUAACUUUGAAAAGAGAGUUAAAAGUGCUUGAAAUUGUUGAGAGAGGGAAGCGAUUAGCGCUUGUGUGUGCGCCCAGGCUUCAGUGUGCCCAACGGCCCAUUGAAUGUGC